UCAGAGAGUUCUAUUAGCAUAUCUUAAAACAUUACUUAAGAUAUGCUAAUAUAAAAUAUGAAUAGAGCAUAAUGUAAUCCAUAGAGCUAUUCUAUAAAAAUAGAACCAUCUAUAUAAAAAUUAAUAAUAGUUUUAUCGGUUUGCCUUUAUUUGUCGGUAAUGUUAUUCAUUACUCACAAGUAAACUUACUCAUAAGUAAACUUAGUUACCAAGUAUUAUACUCCGAUUUUGAUGAAUUUUUAGUAUGUUGUUCUCCAGACAAAAAUAAGCGACAUAUUUUUUUAUAUGUGCCCAUAUGCACUUUUAAGGAGUGAAACACUUCUUUGAAAAAAAACUAUUAAAAUCCUGAUUUAAUAAAAAUUCUGAUGAACCUAUAUGGAUUAAGUCCUCCCUGCAAAAUCCGAUUCCUUGCAAAAUUAAUCUUUGAAAUUAUUAUAAUAUUAAUAUUAUUAUACAUAAUAAAAGUGAAUAAAGCUUUCAUUAUGCCAGUAUUUAAGUCUGCUAAAAUAUUACUAUAUAGUCGAUUUUAACUCAGGUCCUCUGGAGAAGCGGGGGAUACUCGUAGGCGUGGGGGAUGGGAAAGAAUAAUGCGGGGAACGCGUCGGCGAUAUUUUACGUAAAUUUAGGAUCCUGGUCGGUUUACAUAAACAUGAUACGUAUCCGAAUCGGUCGCAACAGAAAUAAUGGAAAAUGCAAUGAUCGCCUGUAAAUAAAUCCUAAGCAGUUUUGCUAUAGCGAAGGAGCGCUUCUCAGCGUCAAUCUAUCAGUUUGAGUUGAGAGAACAAAAGCGAUUUCGCUUAAGAAGAAAAAAAAAUAUGCGACUUGCAUGAACAACUCAAAAUAAAUUACGAGUAUCCGGUUCGGAGGAUAAGGUGUUUGUGCACGCGCGCGCGCGCGCGUGUGUGUGUGUGUGUGUGUGUGUCAGCUUUUUAAAUAACUAAUUAAGUUUUAAUUUAGUUUUACCUUUUCUUUUCUCAUGGUUGAUAAUGAAAGAAUUGUGAGGAUAUUCUUGCGGAACGAGCCAGGAGUGCAAAUGAUUUCUUUGAACAUAUGGCGUAGCGAGCACAUUAGGAUACUAGGUACAUUAGGAUCAAGGGCUUCAGCAAUCACAAUCAUCGCCGCUUCAGGAGUGGCGAUGGUUUCUUCUUCUUCUUUUGUGAUUAAUGGUCCUGGUUCUCGUUGACGAGGUAAACUUGGUUAGUCGUUUCCUAAAUUCCUCCAACCUUCCACAGGAGUCAGUGAGUAUAAUCGGAAUGCAAUGCACCACUUCGAACCGGGCAGAAGUAACAAAAAAAGGGAUGAUACAUUCAAAAUGAAAAUGGAAGGCGCUCCUCAUAAACACUGGGCGCUGCGACUACGACGCUUCGGCGCCGCACGGAUGCAUGUUCAGACGAAUAAAGGAACUAUCGAUGAUGUAAUGUACAGUUGAAGCCAGCCACGAUUUUCAAAAAAUAUGAUUGAGGUGAUGCAACACCUGAAGCGAGGCGAAACACGUCCGAUCCGCUUGAAUGCCCGCGCAAGAUUUGCGAGGAUUUGGCGAAGAAGUAUAUAGGAAACCUCGUUAAUAUGUAGGACGAACAGGAUCUCGGUCUGGCGCGACUGUUCGGUCUCCGAAUGAACAAGAUCCAGAACAGGAAUUAGAAUUUAGACUGCGCGUGGGUUGGUGAGAUAAGAGACGAGAAUCAAGCUAAAAAUCACAAAAAAAUUUUAACACUAUAUUAUUGUUACGUGAUAUAAUUUUAUACUUUCGCGCUACUCUGCUGCGAUGGUGUUACCAAGCCUUGAUCUACAUUAUCCUAGUUUUAAUGUAUUACUAACGACGAGCGAAACGACGAAUGUUUUUAUAUUGUCAAAGUAUACGAAAUUAUACGAGACAUUUUUCGAAUCUUCAGUUUUAAAUAUUGUUCUUCUUUUAUUUUGUAUCACAGAUGCGAAAUUGUAAUUCUCGAUAUGCAAGAAUCUUUCCCGUUUAUACAUAAUAAAAAGACACAUUCGUAUUCAUUUUCGUAUUUUCGCGCAUUAUUUUUAGAAAAUUAUUAUCGAAAAUUGUUAUAGAAAAAUGCCAAUAAAAUGUUUUUUUCCAUACAUCUUUAUUUCGAACAAUUACAAAUAGAUUGUCGAAUUGUUUUUUAGAACAUAAAAUUCAUCUUGCAUUUCAAGAUAAUUUGCAUCUCAAAAUAAUUUGAACAAAUUUGUAGCUUAAAUAAUUAAAUAUGCAACGUAAAUACACAGAAGCAAGUGUAAUAAUGUCGAUGCAACUGUGAAUCAAAGGAAAAUUCAAAUUAUGAAUAUGUUGGAUUUUUGUUGCAUUAAAGAGAUGCGUUGUAACUUAAGCAGUUUUGAGUGCAUACUUGAUGCGCCAAAUCAUCACUGCAUUGAACGGAACACAGUAAGAUAAGACAAAGAAGUUUUUACAACCUUUAAAAAAUAAAAGAUUUUUCUUGAUAAAUUACGCUUAUGACAAUAAAAAUUAAAAACACA